rnacentral:lncRNA from 1 species
AUGAACUGUAACUCAGUAAAAUCUUUUGAAAUGCAUGUUGCGUUUAUAUUUUUGUUUAGUGUGAAAUUCCUAUUGAAAAUAAAUGAAGUGAAACUGUUAAUUCAGGUUACUUUCAGAAUGGAAUCAACACCAAUCCUGGUUACAGGACUGACCCCAAUCCUGGUUACUGGACUGACCCCAAUCCUGGUUACAGGAAUGACCCCAAUCCCGGUUACAGGAAUGACCCCAAUCCUGGUUUACAGGACUGACCCCAAUCCUGGUUACAGGACUGACCCCCAAUCCUGGUACAGGACGGCCCCAAUCCGGGUUAACAGGACUGACCGCCAAUGCGGGUUACAGACUGACCCCAUGCUGGUUACAGGACUGACCCCAAUGCUGGUUUACUGGACUGACCCAAUGCUGGUUACUGGACUGACCCUGGUUACUGGACUGACCCCAUCCGGUUACAGAAUGACCCCAAACCCGGUUACAGGAAUGACCCAAUCGUGUUGACUGGACUGACCCCAAUCCGGUUACAGGAAUGACCCCCCAAUCCGGUUACAGGAAUGACCCCAAUCGUGGUUACUGGACUGACCCCAAUCCUGGUUACAGGAAUGACCCCAAUCCUGGUUACUGGACUGACCCCAAUCCUGGUUUUACGUGGACUGACCCAAAUCCUGGUUACUAGUGGACGCCCAAUCGUUACGGCUGACCCCAAUCCUGAUUAAGGACUGACCCCAAUACUGGUACUGGACUGACCCCAAUCCUAGUUAGAACGGGCUGACCCAAUCCUGGUUACUGGACUGACCCCAAUGCUGGUUACUGGCUGACCACAAUUUCUGGUUACUGGACUGACCCCAAUGCUGGUUACUGGACUGACCCCCAAUGCGGUUACUACUGGACUGACCCUGGUUACUGGACUGACCCCAAUCCUGGUUACUGGACUGACCCCAAUCCUGGUUACAGGACUGACCCCAACCUGGUUACUUUGACUGACCCCAAUCCUGGUUACUGGAUACCCCCAAAUCGGUUACUCUGGACUGAACCCCAAUCCUAGUUACUGGGGGAGACCCAUCCUGAUUACGGCAACCGCCAUACUGGUUACUGGACGACCCCAAUCCUAGUGGGGCUGACCCCAAUCCUGGUUACUGGACUGACCCCCAAUGCUGGUUACUGGGCUGACCACAAUUCUGGUUACUGGACUGACCGCCAAUGGCUGGUUACUGGACUGACCCCAUGCUGGUUACUGGACUGACACCAAACUCCACA